rnacentral:rRNA from 1 species
AGAGUUUGAUUAUGGCUCAGGACGAACGCUAGCGGUGUGCCUUAGGCAUGCAAGUCGGACGCUUGUGCGUACACGAGAGUGGCAGACGGCUGAGUAACACGUAGGAACGUACCUUUUGGCGGGGAAUAGCUUCGAGAAAUCGGAGGUAAUUCCGCAUAGUCCUUAUAUAUAGUAAAGGAUGUAACUAUCCACCAAAAGAGCGGCCUGCGGCCUAUCAGCUUGUUGGUAGGGUAAUGGCCUACCAAGGCUAAGACGGGUAGGGGGUGUGAGAGCACGAUCCCCCAGAAUGGAACCGAGAUACGGUCCAUACACCUACGGGUGGCAGCAACCGGGAAUCUUGCGCAAUGGGCGAAAGCCUGACGCAGCGACACCGCGUGGAGGAUGAAGGCCUUCGGGUCGUAAACUCCUCUCUAAUAGUCCAUUGGGUUGUUAGCAAAAAGCACCGGCUAACUACGUGCCAGCAGCUGCGGUAAUACGUAGGGUGCGAGCGUUGUCCGGAUUUACUGGGCGUAAAGAGUCUGUAGGCGGAUAAGUAGGUUAUGGUUAAACCUCCGGCUCAACCGGAGAAUGCUAAUAAUACCGUUUAUCUAGUCCUCGAGAGGGGGUGCUGGAACUUACUGUGUAGGGGUGAGAUCCGUUGAUACAGUAAGGAACACCAACGGCGAAGGCGGGCACCUGGAUCGAUGGAGACGCUGAGAGACGAAAGCUAGGGUAGCAAUCGGAUUAGAGACCCGAGUAGUCCUAGCCCUAAAUGAUCCCUGCUAGAUGGUCGAUUUGAUUCUUCGGAUUGACGAAGGUAACCCAUUAAGCAGGGCGCCUGGGGAGUACGGUCGCAAGGCUGAAACUCAAAGGAAUUGGCGGGGAGCGCACAACCAGUGGAGCAUGAGGUUUAAUUCGAUACAAAGCGAAGAACCUUACCUGGGUUUGACAUCCUUCCUUUUCCCUGACAGAGCAAGGGGCGUUUAUCAAAAGGUUGGACAGCUACUGCAUGGUUGUCGUCAGCUCGUGUCGUGAGAUGUUCCCUUAAGUGGGGUAACGAGCGCAACCCUUAUUCUGUGUUGGAUUUUCACAGAAGACUGCCCUGCCGUUGGUAGGGAGGAAGGUGGGGAUGACGUCAAAUCAGCAUGGUGCUUAUAUCCAGGGCGACACACAUCCUACAAUGAGAAGUACAAUGGGCUGCCAAGCCGCAAGGCGGAGCUAAUCCCUCAAACCUUCUCUCAGUGGGGAUUGCAGGCUGCAAUUCGCCUGCAUGAACUUGGAAUUGGUAGUAAUCGCGAAUCAGCAGGUCGCGGUGAAUACGUUCUCGCCUCUGUACACACC